rnacentral:rRNA from 1 species
CUACGGGACGCAGCAGUGAGGAAUAUUGCACAAUGGGGGGAACCCUGAUGCAGCAACGCCGCGUGGAGGAUGACGCAUUUCGGUGUGUAAACUCCUUUUAUAUGUCAAGAAAAUAACGGUAGCAUAUGAAUAAGCACCGGCUAACUCCGUGCCAGCAGCCGCGGUAAUACGGAGGGUGCAAGCGUUACUCGGAAUCACUGGGCGUAAAGGACGCGUAGGCGGGUCGGCAAGUCAGGUGUGAAAUCCUACAGCUUAACUGUAGAACUGCACUUGAAACUUCUAAUCUAGAGUAUGGGAGGGGGAGAUGGAAUUAGUGGUGUAGGGGUAAAAUCCGUAGAUAUCACUAGGAAUACCUAAAGCGAAGGCGAUCUCCUGGAACAUUACUGACGCUAAGGCGUGAAAGCGUGGGGAGCAAACAGGAUUAGAUACCCCGGUAGUC